rnacentral:rRNA from 1 species
UACGGAGGGUGCAAGCAUUAAUCGGAAUUAUUGGGCGUAAAGGGCGCGUAGGCGGGUAAGAAAGUCAGAUGUGAAAUUCCGAAGCUCAACUUCGGAGCUGCAUUUGAAACUUCUUGUCUUGAGGGUAGGCGGAGAAAAUGGAAUUCCACAAGUAGCGGUGAAAUGCGUAGAUAUGUGGAAGAACACCAGUGGCGAAAGCGGUUUUCUAGCUUAUACCUGACGCUGAGGCGCGAGAGCAAGGGGAGCAAACAGG